ACGGAGUUCUUGAGGAAUGCGGCUUCGGCCAAAUGACUUUUGAACUUAGUGGCGGACGGGUGAGUAACGCGUGAGCAACCUGCCUUUCAGAGGGGGAUAACAUUUGGAAACAGAUGCUAAUACCGCAUAAGAUUACAGUACCGCAUGAUACAGUGAUCAAAGGAGCAAUCCGCUGAAAGAUGGGCUCGCGUCCGAUUAGAUAGUUGGUGAGGUAACGGCUCACCAAGUCGACGAUCGGUAGCCGGACUGAGAGGUUGAACGGCCACACUGGGACUGAGACACGGCCCAGACUCCUACGGGAGGCAGCAGUGGGGAAUAUUGCACAAUGGGCGAAAGCCUGAUGCAGCAACGCCGCGUGAGGGAAGACGGUUUUCGGAUUGUAAACCUCUGUUUUCGGUGACGAAUAAAUGACGGUAACCGAGUAGGAAGCCACGGCUAACUACGUGCCAGCAGCCGCGGUAAUACGUAGGUGGCAAGCGUUAUCCGGAAUUACUGGGUGUAAAGGGAGCGCAGGCGGGAUAGCAAGUCAGCUGUGAAAACUAUGGGCUCAACCCAUAAACUGCAGUUGAAACUGUUAUUCUUGAGUGGAGUAGAGGCAAGCGGAAUUCCGAGUGUAGCGGUGAAAUGCGUAGAUAUUCGGAGGAACACCAGUGGCGAAGGCGGCUUGCUGGGCUCU
rnacentral:rRNA from 1 species